CGGGAAUUCCAUUAGAGUUUGAUCAUGGCUCAGAUUGAACGCUGCGGGCAGGCCUAACACAUGCAAGUCGAGCGGUAGAGAGGUGCUUGCACCUCUUGAGAGCGGCGGACGGGUGAGUAAUGCCUAGGAAUCUGCCUGGUAGUGGGGGAUAACGCUCGGAAACGGACGCUAAUACCGCAUACGUCCUACGGGAGAAAGCAGGGGACCUUCGGGCCUUGCGCUAACAGAUGAGCCUAGGUCGGAUUAGCUAGUUGGUGAGGUAAUGGCUCACCAAGGCGACGAUCCGUAACUGGUCUGAGAGGAUGAUCAGUCACACUGGAACUGAGACACGGUCCAGACUCCUACGGGAGGCAGCAGUGGGGAAUAUUGGGCAAUGGGCGAAAGCCUGAUCCAGCCAUGCCACGUGUGUGAAGAAGGUCUUCGGAUUGUAAAGCACUUUAAGUUGGGAGGAAGGGCAUUAACCUAAUACGUUAGUGUUUUGACGUUACCGACAGAAUAAGCACCGGCUAAGUCUGUGC
rnacentral:rRNA from 1 species